GUUAGCCAAUUAAAGGAGGCGUGUCCAGGAGCCCGGCGGCGGAAGCGCCUCAAGAGGCGGGGCUAACGCCGAGAAGUCUGCGCGGGCCGUUGCCUAGCCACUGCGAAUGCCGUCAGCCGCUUUGCAGGCCUGAAGUGGAGAAGGAGGCCGCAAACGGACUUUCGCGGUUGAGAUGCUCUCUGGCCCUAGGAAAGUUUCUCUGGGGUUGAUUUGAUCAAUACAGACACUUUACGCCUGUUUUCCAUACCCGUCCCUGAGAUGUUUUGGAGACUGGCUGAAAAUCUUUCCUCUUGGCCUGGACAGUGCAUCCAAACACCUGAGCCCUGUGGGCAAUUUUACCAUUUUACCUAGAGAUGAGGAAACCAAAGCCCAGAAAAGAUAAACUGCCCAAGUUCAUUCUCAGUAUGCAACCUAUGCAGAGUGCAGUUCAUCAGAUACUCAGCCCAGUAUUUAUUUGCUCAACUAUAUAGAGAUGGCUUUCCUGAAGAUAAAGAUCAGAAAAGUUAGAAACUUAUCCAUCUGGCUGCGCGUGGUGGCUCACACCUAUAAUCCCAGCACUUUGGGAGGCCAAGGUGGGCAGAUCGCCUGAGGUCCGGAGUUGGAGACCAGCUUGACCAACAUGGAGAAAUCCCAUCUCAAAGAAAAAUACAGAAUUAGCCGGGUGUGGUGGUGCAUGCCUGUAAUCCCAGCUACUCGGGAGGCUGAGGCAGGAGAAUCACUUGAACCCGGGAGGCAGAGGUUGCGGUGAGCCAAGAUCACGCCAUUGCACUCCAGCCUGGGUAACUAGAGCAAAAUUCCGUCUCAAAAAAAAAAAAAAAAGAGAAACUUAUCCAUCUUUUUGGAGGUUUUUAGACAUGGUUGCUAACUCCCUAUCCUCUUCUCUACAUUCGACGUAUUAUGGUACACAGACUCUAAGGGAAGCAAUUUAAUCAAAACUAGGAACAAUUAGUUGAAAACUAAUAUUUUCCAUUUUGCAUUUUGUCAUUAUUUACAAGCAAAGAUUGGCCAAAAUAACAAGCACUAUAAUUAUUUAUACCUGUUUUCAAAAUGACUGUCCAGUGAUGCCUGCUUUACUUUUGGAAACUAAUUUAUUAGAAUGGCAUUAAUUAUGUAUUUGUCUACUUUUGGUAGGUAAUACAAUAAUAACUGUGAUAUUAUACAUUCUAUCAUUAAAAUGCUAUUUUAAGUA